rnacentral:rRNA from 1 species
UGAGGAAUAUUGGUCAAUGGGCGAGAGCCUGAACCAGCCAAGUAGCGUGCAGGAUGACGGCCCUAUGGGUUGUAAACUGCUUUUAUAUGGGAAUAAAGUGAGGGACGUGUCCCUUAUUGCAUGUACCAUACGAAUAAGGACCGGCUAAUUCCGUGCCAGCAGCCGCGGUAAUACGGAAGGUCCAGGCGUUAUCCGGAUUUAUUGGGUUUAAAGGGAGCGUAGGCUGUUUGUUAAGCGUGUUGUGAAAUGUGAGAGCUCAACUUUUAGAUUGCAGCGCGAACUGGCAGACUUGAGUGCGCACAACGUAGGCGGAAUUCAUGGUGUAGCGGUGAAAUGCUUAGAUAUCAUGACGAACUCCGAUUGCGAAGGCAGCUUACGGGAGCGCAACUGACGCUAAAGCUCGAAGGUGCGGGUAUCGAACAGG